UUGACCUCGGAUCAGGUAGGAAUACCCCGCUGAACUUAAGCAUAUCAAUAAG
rnacentral:rRNA from 1 species